AUCCCUACCAAAGGAGAUGCUAUUGGCCCACAUAGUCACCCUACUAAAGCCCAACAAGCCCCCAACAAUUCCACAAAACUUUAGACCCAUAUCGCUGUUAAACACAGACGCAAAAUUGUUCGCCAAACUAUACGCUAAAAGACUGGGACACAUCAUACCACACAUAAUACACAACGACCAGGUGGGCUUUGUGAGGGGGAGGCAGGGGGCAGACAACACAAGGAAAGUCAUAAACCUGCUACACAAACUUCAGACACCAGAGAUGGGGGGUGUAUUUCUGUCAUGUAGUCUAUCAAAGGCUGAAAAAGCCUUUGAUAGACUACACUGGGG